GGGACGAACGCUGGCGGCGUGCUUAACACAUGCAAGUCGAGCGGAAAGGCCCUUCGGGGUACUCGAGCGGCGAACGGGUGAGUAACACGUGAGCAACCUGCCCUUAGCUUCGGGAUAGCUCCAGGAAACCGGAAUUAAAUACCGAAUAUGACUUUGGCUGACAUCAGCAGAAGUGGAAAGUUUUUCGGCUAGGGAUGGACUCGCGGCCUAUCAGCUAGUUGGUGAGGUAACGGCCCACCAAGGCGACGACGGGUA
rnacentral:rRNA from 1 species